GCUUGGGGGAGUACUUUACAUAAAAACAUCCUUUGCCAUGUUGCUAUGUUGGUUGUCCCUACCUUUAAGACAUGCUCAAUUUGUUAAAUACUAAUCACACUGCUUCAUCUCCACGCGAGUAGAUCUCUAUAAAUGCUGUCAUGUUACCUUUGUCUAUUUACUAGUAAGUGUUAGUUUGGAAGUACUGCACAUACUUCUAUUGGCUUUUAAAUUAAGCAUGGUGCUUAGGUUAAACAGCCUUCCUUAAUCUCAUUAGACAUGGAGUCUAGUUCGGUUAUUGAACUAAAAACUGCUUGUGUAGACAUUAGUAUAUUUUUGUCGGAUUAACCCCUGCAGAAAAACUUUCAAUAUCGAUUUGGGAAGUCCUGAGAUAAAUUCACAUCAGAGACGAAGAGAGUGACACAUGAAGUUUAACAAUUUGCACAAGAAGGACAUAGCUCAUUCAUCAUAGAGAGAUGAUCCAUGGAGGGUGCCACAAACACGAUGCACAAAAGCUAAGUAAGGAAAGCUUCCACAAGGUGAUACUGUACCAUCACUCUUCAAGCAAGGUAACAUCUUAAGGUACUUGACUAUCACUUUUAUAAGCUUCUCCAUGGUUCUGGCGUUCAUAUAAAUAAAAGAGACAAACAUGUAUGAUUUACAACUCUAGAUUAACCAACCCAACUGAUUCAACAUGUUUAGUCCUUUAAUCCUUGUUCUUAGUACUACUUCCAUGAUCCCACACUCCUAAUCAUAUGAGCUAAAAUUUUAUACAUUCAAUCAUUGAGAGAUAUAAAGAAAAAGACAUAUACAUAGAUAGAUUAUCUUUCCAUAAGGUUGAGCGAUCUGAUCUGACAAAUGUUAUAAGUGCUACACUCAUGAACUUUUCAUCCAUCAACUUUGUCUUGCUCACUAUGCUUAGGGUUAGAGAAGAACAAAUACACUUUAGGUUCUGUUGGUGUUUUCCACCAACAGGACCCAUGCACUUGAUCUCUGCCUUGUCUCUAUGAGCAGGUACACUUUGAGCAAAACAUGGAGGAGUUUUAUAACUCUCAAACUCUACUAAGUGAAGGACCUAGAUCUACGAGCACAAACACACUGAGCAGGUUACUGCCAACGCCGUACUUCGAACUGCUGGGCAAACGAAGAGGUGCAGACGUCAAGGUCCGCACCUGAAUCAAAUGACGCACCUGAAGAAUGUACACGGUGAGAAGUCUUGUUAAGAAGACUUAAAACAUUGAACCCUCGCCGAAAGGUAAGAUCGGUAGUUAUCCAUAUUUAUCCUUCCGCAUUCCCUUUUCCCUUUAAUUAUUUACUUUCCUUAAAUAGAUUAUUAGUUAAUCAUGCUAUCUUGAAAAGAAAAUAAAAAUGUUAAAAAAUACUAAGCCCCAUGUGAGUAUACGAGUGGCAUAAAACCCAUAAGUACCUUCACUGUGGUGGCAUAAAAAUAAAAUAAAUAUUUCUUUUCUGCUUUAUAAAAUAAAAAUAUAAAAACAGGGAGUAAUAUUUAUUGAGGAAGCUCAACAUGAUGAAGGCUAGAUAUUUAUGCUAACACUUAAUUAGUUCCACAAGCUUUGUUGUCUAUUUGAGCUCCACAGAAUUUAAGAAUCAAGAAGACUAGCAGACGGAGGACAUUCUAAUCGCUGUCAGAAUGCUGCUGACUUUCAAAUACACCUCUUCCACCUGCUAGCUACAUCAAGAGAAAUUACGUCAAAAUUCAGCUUGGGGAGAGCACCCCCAUUUAUCUCGCUAAGUAUUUCUACCUAUCUUUAUACUUAUAUUAUAUUAGAAUAUUAAAAUACAUAAACUAUGAAAAACCAAAUAAAGAUUUUGUGCUUAUAUAUAUAUAUAUAUCUUUUGCUUAGUGUGUUUAAUAAAUAAAGUGGCUAUGAUAAUCUGAAUCUUAAUAAUAAAACUCUAGCAUGGAUAUGAUGAAUAGUUGCUCUGCCUAAUUUGCAAAUUUGAAGUUCUCUCUCAAGUUUAGACAUAACUGUUAUAAUUUAAAGCUUGCUCUAGGUCUAAACUUGUGGGAUGAAAACUUUAUCUGAAAUCUAAGUUGUCAACGGAUAUGAUAUGGGAAGGUUGAGCUGCUGUUUAUCUAUUCCUAGAGAUGCUAGAAUUCUGGAGAAUUUUAUCUUUGAAAAAUCUUUAAAAUAUUGCAUGAUGAGUUCCUGUAUGAUGAGAGUUUAAAUUCCUACCACAACCAUAUAUAUACAUGCUUGCUAGACUUUGAGCCACACAUUUAUUAUUUACUGCUUAUGAGCAUUGAGUGUGGUCAAGCUAUGUAGACCCUUAGGAGCUUGUCAUGUGGUUAAAUCAAGAAUCACUUGCACGUUCACUCAUAUAUGCUACUUCUACUCCGGAAGUACCAUCCACAUAUAUCCAUCCAUGUCCAUCUCUAGAACCACCCAAAAAUAUUCUACUCCUAAUUCGGGAGAGAAUAGCCAAAAAUAUUUCUGUUUUCCCUUGUGAAAUAAAUGCUCAAGUUAUCUUGCUACUACCACUUGCUAUAUUAUCUCAAGAGAUGAGUGCUCUGAAAAAAAAGAAAAAAAAAUAAACGAGGAAAUAAAAAGGGGCCCGGAACCUCGAAAGAAAAAACAAGAGUGAGACGAGAGGUAAAAAUGGACAAGUGUCCGACAGUAGAAUUAGGGGUACAGGAUACCCACCUGAGAGGAAAGAAAAAUGAAAGAUAGAGCAUCUCAUUCUCCUCAUAAAGUUUCAAAAAGCGAGGAAGGUAUGUAUCCCCUCAAAAGAGCAAAACUACAAUUAGACUUCCACCAUUGUUAUCACCAUCAUCACCAUACACCAUUCAUUCGCCACACAUGCACAUCUUGAUUUGGCUUAUUGAUUUGUUUCUUUGGAUCCAUGGUUUGACUAUACAAUAAAUGUCUUGUAAGUAUGUAUACUUUAUCUCCCACCUAUGAGCUCCAGAUAUUAAAGCCUUAUUAGAGUAGGGUGAGAGAGAAGGCAAUGUCACUAUGCCUUAUACCACAAAUACCACAUAUCUUGAGAGAAGGCAUAUACCAUCACUGCCUUGGUAAGGAUCCAGAAAUACCACAAAAGAGAGAUUUAGAGAGUCAUACAAGGAAUCUCUGAGUUUUAUUUGAAACUCUGCAAAAAAACCAGAGCUAUAGCUGAUCAAGAAUAAGAGACAUGGCACUUGGCUAGACUGUUCUAUCUUUUAACUACUCAAGACAGAAGUGACGGUUACAAGUCCCAUGGUGAAAGGUAAAGUAAGUAAGUUUUAGUUCUUGACAGUUUACUCUAACUCAGAGAUGAGAUCUUAUUUAAAAGCAUGUGUACCGUCAAAUUUUUAAGAUAUUGCAACAACUUCUGAUCCAUUGCUGAGUCUAUCCUUGCUCAGGGACGAGCAAGAGGUAAGCUUGGGGGAGUUUGUUGACGGUCCUUAAGUAUCAAAUUUAAUUAUCAAAUAAAUAAAGAAAAGGAUCCAAAUGAAAUCAACAUCUAGACUUAGGGUUUUAUCUGACAGAAUUCCACGAGUUUUGGUGUUUGUCUAUUUCUGCAGGGGGUUAUCAGGAAAUAUGGAAGAAAGGCCCACACGUCGGGAUUACAUAGAGAUAUUAACGUGCCGCGCAAUUAUCUCACAUCUAGAAGACUCCAGAAGCCACGGGAAGCAAGCGGAGACCGAACGGGGCCAGAGGAAGGGCGCUCGCCCUCCUGCCCUGGGCGCCCGCCCACCUCUGGAGGCCAAUCAGGACUCUUUCUCUCGGGAGAUCUCCACCGACCUAAAGGAUCAAGGAUAACCGUCCAAUCAAUGUCGAUUUGAUCCAACGGCCCAGGUUCACUUGAGGGGACUAUAAAACCAGACCCCCUGGCCCCUGGAGGAGGCACCCCUUGAUCAUUAUUCAUUAUUCAUAGACAGAGCAAAAGCUAGGGUUUAGAGAUGAGAGCUCUCCUCUCUUCUCUAAACUAGAGUAGAUCUAGAUAGUAGCAAGAUGGAGAGCGAAGGAGGAUUAGAGGAGAGGCCGGCC
rnacentral:lncRNA from 1 species